rnacentral:rRNA from 1 species
GACGAACGCUGGCGGCGUGCCUAGUACAUGCAAGUCGAACGCAUUUUCUUUCACCGUAGCUUGCUACACCGAAAGAAAAUGAGUGGCGAACGGGUGAGUAACACGUGGGUAACCUGCCCAUCAGCGGGGGAUAACACUUGGAAACAGGUGCUAAUACCGCAUAAUUCCAUUUACUGCAUGGUAGAUGGAUGAAAGGCGCUUUUGCGUCACUGAUGGAUGGACCCGCGGUGCAUUAGCUAGUUGGUGGGAUAACGGCCUACCAAGGCUGCGAUGCAUAGCCGACCUGAGAGGGUGAUCGGCCACACUGGGACUGAGACACGGCCCAGACUCCUACGGGAGGCAGCAGUAGGGAAUCUUCGGCAAUGGACGCAAGUCUGACCGAGCAACGCCGCGUGAGUGAAGAAGGUUUUCGGAUCGUAAAACUCUGUUGUUAGAAAAGAACAAGGAUGAGAGUGGAAAGUUCAUCCCUUGACGGUAUCUAACCAGAAAGCCACGGCUAACUACGUG